rnacentral:rRNA from 1 species
UACGGAGGGUGCGAGCGUUGUUCGGAAUCACUGGGCGUAAAGCGCGUGUAGGCGGCCCACUAAGUCUGAUGUGAAAGCCCGGGGCUCACCCCCGGAAGUGCAUUGGAAACUGGUGGACUCGAGUCCCGAAGAGGAGAGUGGAAUUCCUGGUGUAGCGGUGAAAUGCGUAGAUAUCAGGAGGAACACCGGUGGCGAAGGCGGCUCUCUGGACGGUGACUGACGCUGAGACGCGAAAGCGUGGGGAGCAAACAGG